AGAGACAGCAGCCGCCGCGGGAAUACAGAGGGUGCGAGCGUUAAUCGGAUUUACUGGGCGUAAAGCGUGCGUAGGCGGCUAAUUGAGUCGGAUGUGAAAUCCCCGAGCUUAACUUGGGAAUUGCAUUCGAUACUGGUUAGCUAGAGUGUGGGAGAGGAUGGUAGAAUUCCAGGUGUAGCGGUGAAAUGCGUAGAGAUCUGGAGGAAUACCGAUGGCGAAGGCAGCCAUCUGGCCUAACACUGACGCUGAGGUACGAAAGCAUGGGGAGCAAACAGGAUUAGAUACCCCGGUAGUCCCUGUCUCUUAUAC
rnacentral:rRNA from 1 species